AACUUGAUAAGAAAAUAAAUUUAAAAAUUUUUUCUAAAUUCUGAUCAAAACAAAUUCAACUGGGAUUCGAUACUAUCGGAUAUCCACAGCUGAUAUCGAUUCCAUUUUCUGUGUAAAUAGCUUGACCUUUUUUUCUGGUUUGUUUUUAUUUUCCUCUGGCCUUUAAAAUUUUCCUUGGUACUUGUUAGCGUUUUCCCAUUUUUCUGUUCUAAAUAUUAUCAUGGAACAUAUUCCCAGGAACAGUGAAUAUCAUCCCGCGAAUAUUUACAAACCGGGAUGGUUCAAGACUAAAGGAGGUUUGAUUGGCAUUGCUGUUUUCGCUCUUUCGGUUGGACAUGCCGUGACUAUUGCUAAUUGGAAGAACAUUUAUUUUUACGAUUUUGAUCAUUCUAAUAAAGGAAAAAGAUUCAGAGGAGUAAAGGAAUGAUUAAAUCAAAUUGGAAUGAUGAUGAUCUUGUUUGUUUAUCUAAUUUCCAAGAAAACAAAAGUCAUGUUUACAAAAGCCUAACCUCUUAACCUCUCCCAGAAUCAUUUGUUCAUUUAAACUUGUUAGACUUAAUUUUGGAAAAUCAUCUUAAAGAUUCUCAAAUCUUGUGUUAAACGUUAUAAUCAAUUGAAAUGGAACAAUUAAAUAUUUAAUUAUAAUA